rnacentral:piRNA from 1 species
UGACUAUUGUCCUUGUUGAGGUCAUUUUC